rnacentral:rRNA from 1 species
UGGGGAAUAUUGCACAAUGGGCGCAAGCCUGAUGCAGCCAUGCCGCGUGUGUGAAGAAGGCCUUCGGGUUGUAAAGCACUUUCAGCGGGGAGGAAGGCGAUAAGGUUAAUAACCUUGUCGAUUGACGUUACCCGCAGAAGAAGCACCGGCUAACUCCGUGCCAGCAGCCGCGGUAAUACGGAGGGUGCAAGCGUUCAUCGGAAUUACUGGGCGUAAAGCGCACGCAGGCGGUCUGUCAAGUCGGAUGUGAAAUCCCCGGGCUCAACCUGGGAACUGCAUUCGAAACUGGCAGGCUAGAGUCUUGUAGAGGGGGGUAGAAUUCCAGGUGUAGCGGUGAAAUGCGUAGAGAUCUGGAGGAAUACCGGUGGCGAAGGCGGCCCCCUGGACAAAGACUGACGCUCAGGUGCGAAAGCGUGGGGAGCAAACAGG